rnacentral:miRNA from 1 species
AAGGGCAAACCCGAUGGGCACC